rnacentral:lncRNA from 1 species
UCAGUGAAGGGUUCAGGAUAUUUGUGGUGUUUCACUACUUCCACUAGCUCGGCAAGGAAUAUGGCAGUAUGGGGUGGCUUGAAGCAUCUGUUGUUUCCCCUUACUACUCAUGCUGGGAAGGUCCAAAAGCACUUGCGAGCAGUCUUCUUUUCUCUAGUCAUCUAAGGAUAUCAUGAAGGGCUUCAGAAUAAAUCUUAAGAAAAUAGAGCAAGGUAGGGUACAAUAAGCAGGGCUUUAAGCAGCAAGGGUGAUAUAAAUCAUCAAUGAACAAGAUAUAGCAAUAAGAGAGCAAGGAUAGCAAAU